GCGAGAAUCUGCCUUUGGGAGGGGGAUAACGACUGGAAACGGUCGCUAAUACCCCAUAUGUCUAUGGAUGAAACAAAUUUUGCCCAAAGAUGAGCUCGCGUCAGAUUAGCUAGUUGGUGGGGUAACGGCCCACCAAGGCGACGAUCUGUAGCUGGUCUGAGAGGAUGAUCAGCCACACUGGGACUGAGACACGGCCCAGACUCCUACGGGAGGCAGCAGUGGGGAAUUUUCCGCAAUGGGCGAAAGCCUGACGGAGCAAGACCGCGUGAGGGAUGACGGCCUAAUGGUUGUAAACCUCUUUUCUCUGGGAAGAUGAUGACGGCACCAGAGGAAUCAGCCUCGGCUAACUCCGUGCCACCAGCCGCGGUAAUACGGAGGAGGCAAGCGUUAUCCGGAAUUAUUGGGCGUAAAGCGUCCGUAGGUGGUUCAUCAAGUCAGCUGUUAAAGCGUGGGGCUUAACUCCAUAAAGGCGGUUGAAACUGAUGGACUGGAGUGCGGUAGGGGUUACGGGAAUUCCCAGUGUAGCGGUGAAAUGCGUAGAUAUUGGGAAGAACACCGGUGGCGAAAGCGCGUAACUGGGCCUGCACUGACACUGAGGGACGAAAGCUAGGGGAGCGAAUGGGAUUAGAUACCCCA
rnacentral:rRNA from 1 species